UCAGAUUACUUCCUUCUCCUGAGAGAGGUGAUCAUUGGUUGGUGGACGUUGGUUUUGGGCCCAAACCGAUGCUGAUUACCAAUGUGUCAAUUUUUGUCGAGCAAGGGGACGAAACCCUAGCCAUCAUCGACGAGAAUCAACCACAGUCUUCUUCAGCAGUCACCGUGGGAUCAGUAGAGCCGCAAACGUUGAUAUCAAAGCAACAGUCUAGGCAGUCGUCGAGCGUUACCUCCAAGCCGCGUUGCCUCAUCUUAUUCCAGCCGCCGUUCAGGUCUAGUAGCUGUUCGAAGGCAGCCAGCCGAGUUGUCCAUCCCAGAUCGAAGUGUCGAUCGGUGGUCAGAGCCGUUCGAUACUUGAAGCCCAGUCGAUUGGAGCCGCUCCUCAACAGACCACGUCGAGCCCAACCGAUGAGUCGUACCCAGAGGUCGCGGCUGGAUACCUUCGAUCGCGACUUCCACCUGCGCAAACCCUAGCCGAUGGACAUUUUCAGAUGGUUCCGGCGCAAUCCCUUCAGUCACAGCGUCCAGUCGGGAUCUCCUCCAGCAACCCACUGUUCGAAGGUUCCUUGUUUAGCCGCGCUGACUCUGUUCCUUCUUUCCCUUCGGCUCCUUCCGCGGCGGUUGAUGCUCGGGGCUAGGCUCCCUCAGCUAACUUCUUCCAACCGGUGACAGUACCGGGCCCCAAUGAAUAGAAAGGUCCAGUCGCACCUAGCUGCAACGGCGCGACCCAAUGCCCUAGUGAGAUUCGGCUUUGUUUCGCCUAUCUCUAACAGCAAGUAGCAGACUUUGGUACAGUUCUUGGCACGAAUCCACAACCAGAAUUCUACUCUGAGAAUCCGGUAAACUCUUUCUCUGUUUUACCCAAUACGAAUUAUUUGUUUGGCUCAAUGGGCAAUUCUACAGGGUUCAUCAUUGGAGAAAAGUUGAAUGGCCAGAAUUAUUUUUACUGGUCACAAUCAAUCAGAAUGACACUGGAAGGGAGACAUAAGUUUUGGUACUUGACGGGGGAGAUACUAAAACCCCAACCAGGUGAUCCUCAAGAACGUAUCUGAAAAAGGGAAGACUCCUUGUUACGGUCAGUUCUUGUUAACAGUAUUGGAAACCCAAAUUGGCAGACCAUUAUUGUAUGCUGCAACUGCCAAGGAUAUUUGGGAUGUUGUGCAGAAGCUUUACUAAAAAAGGCAGAAUGCAUCUCGACUGUACACUCUACGCAAGCAGGUCCACGAAUGCAAACAAAGGACCAUGGUUGUAACUUCCUAUUUUAAUAAACUAUCCCUGUUGUGGCAAGAGAUGGAUCUUUGUCGAGAAAUAGUUUGGAAUUGUGCACAAGAUGGGGCUCAGUAUUUGACGAUUGAAGAAGCUGAUCGGGUCUAUGACUUCUUAGCUGGAUUGAACUCUAAAUUCGAUGUUGUUUGAAGUCGAAUAUUGGGCCAACGACCUAUACCCUCUCUCAUGAAAGUAUGUUAAAAAAUACGGCUGGAAGAGGACAGAUCGAGUGCUAUGAACAACCCAGUUAGCACUUCAACUGAGGUUGCAGCCUUUGCUACAAAAUCGUCCAGCUCUGACGGCGAUAAGAAACCCACUCCUGUCUAUGAACACUGCAAAAGCCGUGGCAUACAAAAGAUCAGUGUUAGAAGCUACAUGGAUGACCUCCAAAUAGUAAACGUCGCCAGUCACAUGACAAAUCAAACCCUGGACGUGCCCUAGUGAGUGACUCGGCGAAUGAGAAUCCUCAGCAUCAAUCUCCAGUAGACAGUAAGACCAAUCUAAGUACAGUUGGGGUUAGUGCCAUUGCACAGUCAGGAUCUGAGUUCGGGGACGAUGAUUGGCAUUGCCCGGCACGAUAGGGGGCUCUACUUCCUGACUGAUGAUGCUUCUUCUAGGAAUGAUUAUAGGACUAGUCUCAUUUCUUUAAAUUUUUCUACUUUUGAGAAUGACUUUAUGUUGUGGCAUUAUCGCUUAAGACAUCCAAAUUUUCAAUACAUAAAAUGUUUGUUUCUACAUUUAUUUCGCAAAAUUAAUAUAUCUUCUUUAAACUGUGAUGUUUGUAUUCAUGCCAAACAGAGUCGUGUCUCCUUUCACUCUCAGCCCUACAAACCGUCUAGACCUUCACCUUAGUUCAUAGUGAUGUCUGAGGUCCCUCACCAACCACCACCUCCACAAGGAAACGCUGGUUUGUCACUUUUAUAGACGACCACACUCGGCUUACUUGGGUCUUUCUUCUCACUGAUAAGUCUGAGGUGUCGUCAAUAUUCCAGCAAUUCUAUACUACUGUGAAAACCCAAUUUAAUGCAAAGAUUGGAAUUCUUAGAAGUGACAAUGGGCGGGAGUUCUUUAACGCCUUUUUCCGGGACUUCCUCACCUCUAAAGGGAUUAUCCACCAAAGUUCGUGUGCUUACACUCCUCAGCAGAAUGGGGUAGCCGAGAGGAAAAAUCGUCAUUUGGUGGAAGUCGCCCGUUCCUUAAUGCUGUCUACAUCACUUCCAUCUUACCUAUGAGGGGAUGCUAUUCUCACUGCCACCCACUUAAUCAACCAAAUGCCCUCUCGAGUCCUCAAUUUUCUAAAUCCGUUGGAUUGUUUUAAAGAGUCAUACCCAACUACUUGUUUAGUCUCCAAUGUUCCGCUUCGGGUAUUUGGCUGUGUUGUCUUUGUUCAUUCCCAUGGUCCAAACCGCACAAAAUUCACCCCUCGUGCUAAAAAAUGUGUCUUUGUUGAGUAUCCUCUCCACCAGCGUGGGUAUAAAUGUUACCACCCGUCAUCUCACAAAUAUUUUGUUUCCAUGGAUAUCACCUUUCUUGAGGAUCAAUCGUUCUUUCCCAUUAGCCAUCUUCAGGGGGAGAACUCUAGUGAAGAGGCUAACUGGUCCACAUAUGAAGUUCCCUUAGAGUCAUCUCCGGUUCCUGAAUAUGUCAACCCUGUCCUUCCUACCAACCAAGUCCUAUGAAUAACAACUAUAGGAAGAAUCUCAGGAAGGAAACAACGGCACCUAUGCAUCUCCGGCUCUGGUCCAUGAAUCAGACCCAACAUCAGGUACGUGUAUUCUUGAAAUUAAUGAUAUUGAUACUUGUGCUGAGACUAACGGUUGCAGAGAGGAAAAAGGCAAAGAAGGUGCUGAUAGCACCACCAUGGCAGAUGGAGAGACAACUGAGAAUAAUGAUCAGGAAACAAUUUCGGAAAAUGAGAAUGAUACCAGAGAUGGUGAUGAUAUGAAGGGACCUCUGAAGGUGAAAUCCCUGUUGAGCAAACGAUCAAUCACAGUGGGAAACUUGACAGUAUGGAAAAUCGUGAUGCUUCUCUCGAUCUCUCGAUAGCCCUGAGGAAAGGCACUCGAUCAUGUACGAAGUACCCUAUGCACAGUUACAUGACGUACAGUAACCUGUCACCCGAG